UUCUCCAACACACUCAGACCUCGUAACAGAAGCGUGAACAUUAUAAUAUGAGGGCCCAACAUCGAAAAAUCGCUAACUUCUCAUUAACCGAAGAGUGGACAUCAUAAUAUGGAGGCCCAACAUCGGUAAAUUGUUAACGGGAGUGUGGACACUGUAAUAUGAAAAUCCAACAUGAGUAAACAAAUAUAAUUGGGAUAGGCCUACUAACUCUGAUAUCACGUAAAGAUGGAUUUCGAACCUAACUUAACUCCAAAAACACUAAGUUAUGAAAUUUUUUUUGUCCAAAUUCAUAUAAACAGACCGAACUCCCGUCCCUUUAACACAAACAAAGAAGUUUUUCGGCAGCAUUUGCAUGUUAAAAUUGACACACGGAAGGUAAAAGGCUAAAAGCAGCCACGUUUAAUACUUUAUCUUGUGAUGAUAACUUUUUUUUUUUUUUCAUCUACAUAUAAUUUGCAGUGAUGCAACACGUAUUUAACAUGCAAACUAUUUAAUCAGCUAUAAAUAGACCUUUAAAAUCGACUACUUCACCAUCACAAGCACUUGCAAAAAAAAAUAAUAAAUUUAAACAUAUCUUAUUAUUGUUGUCAUGGGGAAGAUUUCACUUGUUGCUGCUCUUUUGUUGUGCUUGUUGGCAUUGCAAAUGCCAACAGGUUUUCCGUCACGGUAGCUGUGACGGAGAACGAUAUUGAAAAUCCACAAAGCUGUCAAGAGCAAAUGCAGAGUCAUAGGCUCAAUCACUGCAGGAUGUACGUUUCAAGUAGUCGCCAAUACUACAACGACAACCUAAGCAUGGUGACAGAUGACGAUCAUGUGAUCAACCAAACUCAAGAACAUCUUCAACAAUGUUGCCAAGAAUUGAAGAACAUGGACACUCAAUGUCGAUGCCCAGCACUUAAGAAAAUGGUGAUGCAGGAUUGUGGCGGCGGCGGCCAAUGCGAAGAGUCGACACGCUUGUUCGGAAAAGCUCGUUACGUUCCCCAUAUGUGUAACCUUCAACCCACUCGUUGUAGCUUCUAAUUAAUAAAUAUAGAAGCUCGAUCAGUAUAAAAAUUACGGUAAAAGUACUAUAAUAAAAACACACUAUCGUGUGUAUGUUUGGUAAGAGGCAGAGUUAAUUUGUGAACUUCGUCUGUGGUUUUAUUGUAUGGGAAGUUUUUUUUAAGUGUUGGAGUCGUUUUGUAUGAACAAAAUUUAGGGUUCUAUAUGAUCUUGUUGAUUAAUUAUAGGGAAAAAGGAUAAAUAUGUCCUCGAAUCAUCAUAAAUGGUGGUAUGCAGAUAUACGGAAGAUUAAAUAUCGACACUUGAUAUAAUUUUAUCUGUCGAUUUAAAAUUUAAUAAAUAUUGAAUCAGUGUAUAAGAUUA